CGGACCACUGUCUUGUAUGUUUCCUAAGAAAAGCAAAAAGGGAAGAGAUUGAAGAGAAAGUAGAUUUUCAACUACAAACUUUCAUCCAUUUGCUUUCAGCUUAAGCAAAUGUGCGCAAAGUUGUCAUGGAUUUUUGCAGUCAAUAAAAACCAAGCAAGAAGACUGAAUCCCAAGUCAUCUGGGGCAGAUAAGAAAAGAAACAAUUUGCUGAAACUCCCUCUGCUUAUAACAAAACUGACUGAAAUCAGCCGGAAUCAAUAUGGCCAAAUGCAGUUUGCGCACAGCAAGCUUGCUGAUGUCACAGCCUGAAUUUCUACUGCAUGUUUCAUACCAACUCCCUCCAAAUUUGCACAUGGGACCCACCAGGAAGCAUGAAGAGAGAGCCAUGCAUGCCUGAAGACUUCCCAGAUGUUCCCUUUGCUUCCACCAAUCACCUGCUAACCCCAGGAUCCAACCCUAAACCUUUUGUAAUAAAAUUACUGCCCUAAAGCCAGUACAAGACAGAUUUGAACUGGACUUUUGUUUCCUCAGAAGUUAACUUGCAAUGUGAAGCUUUCCUUUUCUCAAAAACUUGGUGUCAUAGUGUUGGCUUCUAGUGCAGUGAGCCCCUUUUGCUGGAUAACCUUACCUGGUAAUUUGACAUACUAGGUGGUUAGUAACUACUGACUGUCUCCAGGUUACAACACAGUUAUUACCCACUUGGGUGAAAAGAGAAGACAGGAAAUACAUUUUGGAGUUGGCUGGCAACCUGUUUACAAAGCAAUUUACAACAGUUCCUUAUUCUUAAGGGGCUAUUCUAAUACAAGACCUCAGAGAAACAGUGCAGUGUGACAAAGGAGGAAUUUAUCAAAGGAGACAGAAAAAGCAUCAAGGCAAGCUGUGAAAUGGUGCGGUAGGAACCAAAUAGAGAGCCAAAGGAUCUUUCUGUCACUGCAGGCCCUUAGGGCUGAACUCUGAGAACACCACAACUUCACAGAGACUGCUGGUUUUCUGCAAUUAGCAGCAAGAGUCCUGACUCAGGGAAGUUGCUCUCCAGUCCAGACUAGCAAAAGACAGAGAGAAUGGGCUCUGCAGAAGACAGAUCCAGACAAGCCAUGCAUGAUUCAUGCCACCUGCAGCCACACGGGUGUCAAUACCAAGAACCUGCCAUAUGUCAUCAAGAGUGUGUUAAGUGAAACCUUCUCAAGAGUUAUUCUUUUGUGCUCUGUCCAAAUCUGGAGAACCCUUCCAAAUACUAUAAAGAUUGAUAUCUUGGCCGGGCCCGGUGGCUCACACCUGUAAUCCCAGCACUUUGGGAGGCUGAGGCAGGCAGAUCACAAGGUCAGGAGUUCCAGACCAGCCUGGCCAACCUGGUGAAACCCCAUCUCUACUAAAACUACAAAAAUUAGCCAGGCGUGGUGGUGUGCGCCUGGAAUUCCAGCUACUCAGGAGGCUGAGGCAGGAGAAUCACUUGAACCCGGAA
rnacentral:lncRNA from 1 species